GACGAACGCUGGCGGCGUGCUUAACACAUGCAAGUCGAACGGAAAGGCCUUGCUCUUGUGGGGUGCUGGAGUGGCGAACGGGUGAGUCUCCCGUGAGUAACCUGCCCUUGACUUUGGGCUACCUUCAGGACACUGGGGCUAAUACCGCAUAGGAGGUCCUGCUGCCGGGUGGGGGUUGGCAUGUUACGGCGGUUGGGGAUGGACUCGCGGCUUAUCAGCUUGUUGGUGGGGGAGUGGCUUACCAAGGCUUUGACGGGUAGCCGGCCUGAGAGGGUGACCGGCCGCAAUACGACUGAGAUGCGGCCCAGACUCCUACGGGAGGCGGCAGUGGUGAGUAAUGCACAAUAGGCGGAGACCGGAUGCAGCAGCGCCGCGUGCGGGAGGACGGCCUUCGAGUUGUAGACCACUUUCGCCUGUGACGAAGCGUGAGUGACGGUAAUGGGUAAAGAAGCACCGGCUAACUACGUG
rnacentral:rRNA from 1 species